rnacentral:lncRNA from 1 species
AUUAUUCCAGCUAUCGGCAACUUAAACGGCAUUGUAAAAGACUUGGUCUAAAGAGGCGGCCAAACUGGAAUCGUGCUGUCGUUCAAGCAGCUAUUUUGGCUGAAGUUCAGGGUACAGGUGGAAAUCUCGGUUGUCGGGCCAUGGCUAGUAGGUUGCGAACAAAGUAUGGAAUAAUGUUAGGGAGACAUAAGGUACUGCAAUAUCAAAACAUCAUAGAUCCCGAAGGUGUUCAGUCCAGACUGUCAAACAGGCUUUUAAGAAGAGAAUACUUUAACAGAGGUCCGAAUUUUCUAAUUCACAUU